rnacentral:rRNA from 1 species
CAAUAGCGUAUAUUAAAGUUGUUGCAGUUAAAAAGCUCGUAGUUGGAUUUCUGGAUGGAGCGACCGGUCGGGCAUUAAUUUGUCUGCACUGGAGUCGGUUCCGUCCAUCCUCUUGGAAAGUGCGUCGGGAAUUAAGUUGUUUGGCGUAUGAUCCAAGUCGUUUACUGUGAAAAAAUUAGAGUGUUUAAAGCAGGCCUUCGCCUUGAAUACAUUAGCAUGGAAUAAUAAGAUAGGACUUUGGUCUAUUUUGUUGGUUUGCAGACCGAAGUAAUGAUUAAUAGGGAUAGUUGGGGGUAUUUAUAUUCCGAUGUCAGAGGUGAAAUUCUUAGAUUUUCGGAAGAUAAACUUAUGCGAAAGCAUUUACCAAGGAUGUUUUCAUUAA